GACCCAUAGUCGCAUUGGAGCAGCAACUCCUUGCUAGAGUUGAGGCACUUCAUCUCUCAUUGCUGAUCCCGUCUUCACAGCAUCAUACUGAUGACCAUUCAUGGCUUAAAGUGCUUUCCAGGUGCAUUUCUGCAGCAUGAUAAACCACCUUGGUCGGCUGAACAUGUUUCUUGGUUUUACAUCCUAACAAAAGCAAGGCAGGAAAAUUAAAGCACUCACUGUCCCUGACUCUCUUCCAGUUAUGGGGAGAUGGAGAGGACCUGAAGAAUAUUCUUAGCUAAUGAUAU